CGUCGCAAUGGUUGUUCAAUUUUUACUUUUUAUUUUUUGGAAUAAACUUUUGAAAUUUUACCUAUUUAUUACCUUUAAAUCAUCAUUGGGUGUGGAGAAGGGUACAGCAGGAUUGAAAUUCAAAAUUGUAAGAAGUAGUUUUUGUUGCGUGUAUAUUUUAUGCGUUUCUCACGCUAUUUUCGUCGUCUGGAUGCGUUUGCCGUUUCUGAUACCUCUUGGCCUUGGGGUGUCGGCUUGUGGUGCAAUUAGUAGCUGUGCGUUUGUUUGCUACGCAAUAUUUUUACGCUACACAGAUACGAAUAUAGAUUUUAAGAUGGGACGAAAACUCAUUAGUUAUUAGCAGCUGUAUUGAGUUGCGUCUCCCCAGUCACCAAGAGAUACCUGCCUGUUAACAUUGUAUUGACGAUUACGAAUACAACACCGAAGUAUUACGCUAAUAGAUCGCUAUUCAUCCAUCCAAGUUCCAGCCAAGCCAGAACUCCGGACCUGACAACCUCAGUUGAUUGAUUUGAUUUAUGAUAUCGAUUUAGUUAAUUAGCGAAUUAGCAUAUCAAUGUUUUAUUUUACCUGACAAUUAAGUUUGAUAAUUAAUAAAUAGUCGAGUGGUU